rnacentral:lncRNA from 1 species
GGAUCAGGGUUAGCACACUAUACUCCUGAAAAAUAAACACAUUUGUUUGGAGUAAAAAAAUAUUUACAGAUGUAGCCAGAUAUACUCUAUUCAAAACAUGCUUUGUUAAAAACAUAAAUCUUCAGUUUUACAAUAACCAAAAAAAAAAAAAAAAUUAAAACAAAAAAAACAGAAAUCAUAAAUAGACCACCAAAAUUGUACAUUAAAGCACAUUGGGCCAUAUAUUAAGAGCAAUUUUGUGGCUUAAUGAGAAUAGAUCCGCAGAAUUCAGCUGACUUCGAUUGGGAUUGUGAAAUACUGAGCACUCUGAUCCAUUACUUCUCUUUAAAUAUAGGGCCUCGUCCCUUUACCUGCCAGUUUUGUAAAACUUGUGUUAUAUUCUAUGCCAAAAUGUAAAUGGUGGGCCCUAGUUAAUAAUUUAGUUUCUUCCCAUCCUCAAAUACUUAAAUGAAAGACAUUUUCUGAAAUUACAGCAGAUUCAUACUUUAACACUUGGUAAACAUAACUAGCAUUUAACAGGACAAUUCUUAACUUCGGUCUUAAUAGGAUAUAUGAAGACAGCUGUAAUAAGUUAAAAAAAUAAAAAGGAGUUUCAAACAAACAAACAAAAAAAAAAACCUCCAAAAUUCACAUUUUAGCAUUCCAGAAUAUAAUGAUCCUUUGACAGCAUCUGUACAAGUUUGUGCCACUGGCAAAGCUAUAGUUUAUACAUAGGAUACAAGACUAGAUCAUUGCCAUUUUUGGCCUGCAAAUAGAUUGUCCCCAAUAUAUAACGAAACAUUUAAUCUAUCCUAUUCAAUAACUUGCCACUUUUAUUCAAUUUUGUGAUCAAGGAACAUUUUAACCUGUAAAAAGGAGAAUCUAAGGACCACUAGUGUCAGGAAGACAUACCUGUUUUCCUGACACUAUAUAAUCCUUAGGGUCCCCCCACCCUCAGGGCCCCCUCCAGCUGGGCUAAAGGGGUUAAAAAAAAAACUCUUCAACCACCUAUGCUUAUCCAGCACUGGGCUCCUCGCUGCUGGUGACCUCCCCUUCCCCUCCAUCAGCUCCCGAGUGGAGCUGAAUGCGCAUGUGCGGCUGGGGCCGCGCGCGGAUUAAAACGCCCAUAGGACAGAAUUUCUCAAUUUUCGAUUUGAGCGUCGCAGAAGCGUCUCAAGAGGCGGUCAGGAAGGCUGGAUUAACCCUGCAAUGUAAAAAAAGCAAUUUCUCUGAAUCUGCCAUGUUUACAUCUAAAGGGUUAAAACCUGGGGGACCUGGCACCCAGAUAACUUCAUUGAGCUGAAGUGGUCUGGGUGACUAUAGUAGUCCUUUAGUCUUGACAAACAGGUCAAAAUGUUGCUAGGUAAAUAAAGAUGAUAAAAAGUUACACUAGUUAUAAUAUCAAUGUAUAGAGGUCUGUUCACAACAGUCAUGGCAUUAAAAUUUGAAAAUGACAAUGACUUAAAAAGAAAAAAAAAAAAGAAGCCCAUGUUGAAUUCCAUUAGAUUUGUUGUUGCCCUACUAAACUGCACAAACCAAUGCAAUAUUUUGUUCCAGCAGUCCAAUAAGUAGGGUUUCUGACAUAUAUACACACACAACUGUAGUUCAGUGAUCAAACAGCCUGUAAUUUGCAUUUCCUCCAUUGUUUUCAAAUGCCAAAAUUAGGGAAACAGAUAUAAGUGAGAGAAACACCAGAUACAUGGAGGCAUAUAGGAUUUAAAAAAAAAAUAAUUCUAAAUCUGCAGAAAAAUCCAAACUAUCCUCCCACUUCCUGAAUAUACACUUUGCCUGAACUAAGUAUCAGUAUUGGUCUAUUUAGGCAACAAAUAUGGAAGAAUUGUGAUUUAUUUUUCAGUGAUAUAAAAUGUAAUUAUGUGGAUCAUGUGUCUAAUUUACGUUACAGGUUGUUUAUCUGGGGUUUUUCCUACUUGCACUUAGUUGUGCCAAAAUAUAUUUUACUAUGCCGUGUGAGUUUCAUUUUCCAGUCUAAUUUUUAGGUUCACAAAUUUGUCACUUGGUAUUUGUACAUAAAUAAUGUACCUAAACACCCACACCAAAAUGGUGCGCUAUUUCUUUCCAACAAAGCUAUAUGCCAAUCUUAGUGAUGCAGGUUAUCCAUAAAGGAUUAAAAAAAAAUAAAAAA